UGCAACCCACAGCCUGCCGGUGGACCCUGUAACACUUGUCAUCGUGUGCUGUCUGAGUAAAUAUACAUAAAUAGGUAAAAACUUUCAACAACGGAUCUCUUGGUUCUGGCAUCGAUGAAGAACGCAGCGAAAUGCGAUAAGUAAUGUGAAUUGCAGAAUUCAGUGAAUCAUCGAAUCUUUGAACGCACAUUGCGCCCUCUGGUAUUCCAGGGGGCAUGCCUGUUCGAGCGUCAUUAACACCCCUCACGCCCCCCGGGGCGUGGUCUUGGGCUCGCCCUGCUGUCUGGCCGGGCCUGCCUCAAAAUCAGGGGCGGCGUUCGUCGAACCCCCUAAGCGUAGUAACAAUCACGAUGCUUGCUGGGCGUUGGAUGGAGGCUUGCUGUGAACCCCCACCCCACACGAUGUUGACCUCGGAUCAGGUAGGGAUACCCGCUGAACUUAAGCAUAUCAAUAAGCGGAGGAAAAGAAACCAACAGGGAUUGCCUCAGUAACGGCGAGUGAAGCGGCAACAGCUCAAAUUUGAAAGCUGGCUCUGUUGCAGGGCCCGCGUUGUAAUUUGUAGAGGAUGCUUCGGGCGCGGCGCUGGUCUAAGUUCUUUGGAACAAGACGUCAUAGAGGGUGAGAAUCCCGUAUGUGACUAGCUUGCCUGUGCCUGUGUGAAGCUCCUU
rnacentral:rRNA from 1 species